GAUAUGGUCUCUCAAGACCUGACGUGGCAGAAUCCACUCAUCAGGACUUGAAGGUUGACAAGACCGUCGCAGGGUUUCACGGUCGACUCACUCUUUCGGGUUGGCAUUUGCUGGUGGUUCGUUGAAUGUCCCGCCCCGUCGCUGGCUGUUUCUCGCCUCGCCUCCUCCUUUCGCUGUGAAUCAAGCACUGGGUUCGGGAAGCAGCUGCACGGCCCCGCGGUCGUCGCAUCACCGGCCCCGAGGCCGUCCGAGGCUCCGGCUCGCGUCCUUCCUCUGCGCGGAGCGGCCACCGCCGUCGCUCCCUCCUCCGCCGACUCUCGUCAGAUCAAGUGCUUUUACAGAAGUUUCAAUAAAAGUUAAUUCUCAGAAGAGUGCAUUGGAUUGAAAACCAACAAAUUGGCCGCAAAAGAAUGCAAUCAGUAUAGCCACCACACUUAAUGGAGCUACAGGAGCACCAACUUGUAGAUUGUACUGAAGCUCUUGAUCAGGAAAACCAUGAGGUGACGAAAAUAAAUGUCUGACAUAAAGAUGGACUGAAGAUAUAACUCUAGGGCAAUGUUCAGACUUCGGAUCGGGCCUUGGCUAGAUGGCAAAGACUGAAACAUCCAACAUAAUUUUUAUGCUUUAGGGCAGUUCCCUCCACAUGGGACAGCCAUGCUCAUAUCCAUCAGCUUCAGCAGACACCUAAACCUCAAUAAUUCUCCCACUUGGAGUUGAUGGCUGUCAUUUCAGAAUGGGGACAUACUUUACUACUGACAAUACACCAUCUCAAUUAUUUCUUCAUGCUCACCUGUCUGUGUCAGUCUCAGGUGGUCAUUUACAUAUGGCCAUCUAACAACAAGAACUAUCUGAGUUAAUCUCAUUAUUCCAAGUUAACAACUAAGGUUAGAGUUAGUCUUGGCCUAUGAUGAUCCUGUUGGCUUACAAUUUGCUCUUUGGAGAGAUUUCUUGCAGAUGUUAAUAACAAAUUAUUUAGUUUAUGACAGUCAAGACUGUGGCCUAGAAAGAGAAGAUAAUAUUUCAAGUUUGGUGAUCAAAGUGGGUCUUUGUCAGUCUUUGUUUGUCAUGACUAUGAUAAUGAUGACAUAGCUCGUAAUAAAUGACUUACAGAAGAAAAUGG